rnacentral:rRNA from 1 species
UACACAUGCAAGUCGAGCGAUGAGAUCCCUUCGGGGAAGGAUUAGCGGCGAACGGGUGAGGAACACGUGAGGAAUCUGCCUUCAACACUGGGAUAACUCCGGGAAACCGGGGCUAAUACCGGAUACGAGACCUGCAGGCAUCUGCGGGUUUGGAAAGUUUUUCGGUUGAAGAUGACCUCGCGGCCUAUCAGCUUGUUGGUGAGGUAAUGGCUCACCAAGGCGACGACGGGUAGCCGGCCUGAGAGGGCGACCGGCCACACUGGGACUGAGACACGGCCCAGACUCCUACGGGAGGCAGCAGUGGGGAAUAUUGGGCAAUGGAGGGAACUCUGACCCAGCGACGCCGCGUGCGGGAUGAAGGCCUUCGGGUUGUAAACCGCUUUCAGCAAGGAAGAAGCGAAAGUGACGGUACUUGCAGAAGAAGCACCGGCUAACUAUGUGCCAGCAGCCGCGGUAAUACAUAGGGUGCAAGCGUUGUCCGGAAUUAUUGGGCGUAAAGAGCUCGUAGGUGGUUCGUCACGUCGGAUGUGAAAAUCUGGGGCUUAACCCCAGACCUGCAUUCGAUACGGGCGAGCUAGAGUGUGGUAGGGGAGACUGGAAUUCCUGGUGUAGCGGUGGAAUGCGCAGAUAUCAGGAGGAACACCAAUGGCGAAGGCAGGUCUCUGGGCCAUUACUGACACUGAGGAGCGAAAGCGUGGGGAGCGAACAGGAUUAGAUACCCUGGUAGUCCACGCCGUAAACGGUGGGCACUAGUUGUGGGAACCUUCCACGGUUUCUGCGACGCAGCUAACGCAUUAAGUGCCCC